rnacentral:rRNA from 1 species
CCUACGGGGGUCAGCAGUGGGGAAUAUUGGACAAUGGGGGCAACCCUGAUCCAGCCAUGCCGCGUGUGUGAAGAAGGCCCUCGGGUUGUAAAGCACUUUCAGUGAGGAAGAACGCCUGGUGGUUAAUACCCAUCAGGAAAGACAUCACUCACAGAAGAAGCACCGGCUAACUCCGUGCCAGCAGCCGCGGUAAUACGGAGGGUGCGAGCGUGAAUCGGAAUUACUGGGCGUAAAGCGCGCGUAGGGGGCUUGAUAAGCCGGUUGUGAAAGCCCCGGGCUCAACCUGGGAACGGCAUCCGGAACUGUCAAGCUAGAGUGCAGGAGAGGAAGGUAGAAUUCCCGGUGUAGCGGUGAAAUGCGUAGAGAUCGGGAGGAAUACCAGUGGCGAAGGCGGCCUUCUGGACUGACACUGACACUGAGGUGCGAAAGCGUGGGUAGCAAACAGGAUUAGAUACCCUUGUAGUC